GUGGAGUGGGCGGGGCCUGCUUACUUCACUUCCUGCCAGGCGACGCUCUCAGCCUCCUCAUCUCUGAGCCCAGAGACGGGUGGCACUAUGGCCAGAARGAACGGACGGGACGGAAAGGCUGGUUCCCUUUCUCCUACACUCAGCCCUACCCCAACACCUUGGAUCCCCUCGACAGCAGGUCUGUCACCAUAGAAACAAGAAACUGUUAUGAUAUUGUCAUUUCAUUCCUCAAAAUGUUAUUGUCUUAAAUGGAAGUCAACUUUGUUAUGGUUAUGAUUAAAUCUUGACACUGUAACUCUGGAAAUACAUCCGCUAUGCUGUCCACCCUUCCCUGUAUUUACUCUGAUCUAACAGCUUAGCUGCAGCGUUGUCAACAACAUUAUUGUCUGUCAGUACGAUAGCGAUGUCUACAAACUGGCAGUGAUGAUUUUGGCUUAUUCACAGGAAGCUGAGAGAGGUCACUGACACUUUGACACAGAUAUGCUGUUUUUUUCUCUAAGUGUCAUUAUCAUUUUGAUGUGUCCAUGCCAAGCAAAGAGACCAGGCCUUUAGAGAGGAAUAAAAAUGAAUGACCCUCAUUCUUUCCAUCUGCCUAAGCUCUGUCCUAAUCUUCUACCACCUUGUAGGUCCCCUUUACUCUCCAAGAUCAACAGUACAGUUGAUGAGUUAGCAUGACCACUUUCCUCCAUUUAUCCUCAGUCUGAAAUGUCAGAACAAUAUGCCUGCUAUUGUCAUUAAGGAUAUUGAGUUGAGCAAGACAKUUGGAAAAUGAACCAUUUACCAKUGGUUUCUCUCCAGKUCCRCGCUCCUCUCUAAGGUCAACAGRACCKGUACGGGUCAGUUAGARAAGCUGGUCUCCCCUGGRCUGCCUGCCCUGACCCCUGAGUCCGAGGAGGAGCGCUCYUUCCCCCCUCAGAGGGUCAGCACCUUCCGCCCGCGCCCAUACAGCAUGGCCGACUCCAACCAGGUCAGCCUGAGGCCGAAGGUCAGAGGUGAAGGGGUWGAGUGGGCAGGGCCCRCUGACCGACCGGRUCUGUCAAUGCUGAUGCAAGAGGUAUAGAUGGCUUAUAAUGACAGAAUAUAAUGUAGAUAUGAUAUGUAAUGGGUUAAUAACACUAGGKUCUUCAUCGCUUUUACUACAGCUCUCCUCAGACUURGCCUCUCCUCCACCCUCCCCAACCUGGACCAACCCAUUUGCCCAUGUCCGGCUCAGAAAGACGGUGACCAACGAUCGCUCUGCACCCAUCAUCGAAUAGGACAUGGUCUCCUUGAACAGGCAWCCAAUGGAGAGGUGUUAAUAGGAAACAUUCAUGUGUUUUGAAUUUGUUUUCAGAGUCCAGUAACUGUGUUGGUUGAGUUCUCAACUGUUGAGCCUUAAGAGAAAGCCUUAAGUAAACCUUUCUGUUCAUGUUGGUUAUUUACAAGUGCUUAUUAGAUGUGUAUUAAUCAGGCCUAAGUCAAAAUACAGACACUUAUGUGGUGUUAUUUUGAAGAUAGAAGAAUCAAAGCUGACAUUUGAGUGACAUAACAGUGAUUGUCAAAGACCCGUUGGACAAAAUGAGAUCUUGAAUAAAAAUCCACCAUAGUAUUUGAGAAUUAUAGAGUAAAAAGAUGAGUGUGGGAGUUGGAAUUUAAAAAGCUCUGUGAUGUUAGUAAAAACACAAACAGAUGGCGGCCAUUUUGUCGGCAUGUCCAACAUUAACAUUUGAGCCCUGGGCAUUACUGAUAAUUMUAUAAUGUUCUUUUCAUUUUACAACACUUUUCUAGAAGUAACCUUGAUAGAAAAUGUUUAUUYUGUUUUUUUGUCUGUACCCAUUCAGGGACUGGUUCCUGGUAGCAGCCUGUAGUCGGGUAAUAGUUUAAUGAAUUAUAGCYUACUUUACUUGUACCAUUAGGAAUUGUCUUAAAGGACAGGCUCCUGUUUUAUCAGUAUUCUCAUUGAGGAGGAUUUUUGAGAAGAGAGUUAUGCAGAGAUAUGUGUGUAUGAUCCAGGAAAAUCCAAACAUGUUGAAGAAUUGUCAUUAUUUUUUUUCCAUUGUUGGGAUUAGCUAGGCAGAUGUAUUUUCACGAUAGAUGCAGACCUACCAAUCACUUGUUGAUUUAUCACAUUUGUACAACUUAAUUUACAUGUUCUCUGAAUGAAGAUUUAAAGAAAAGUGUAUUGAUGUUGCUUACUGAUGUCAUCAGCACAAUGCUGGGUAGGAAAUAGUUCAAGUUUAAACACCAAUAUUUUUUAAAUAAUAAUUUGUUUUAAUGUGAGGUAGGAUUUGUAUAAGGAAUUAUAUUUUUAAGAUCAACUGAUCAAUUUACAAAGGCAAUUGAUAUGAUAUGUUAUACACAGAAAUAUGUUGCAUUGCAAAGCUAUUGCUGCUAGUUUGGGAUGUGUAGAUUGUAUUGAACGUUUACCUUCAAGAGUCUCUGUUAUCUACAGAAACGUAUUAAUAGAAGUAAGAAGGAGCAACAGUACAGAUGUAGGAUCUUUAUUUGAUCACUCUUUUGUUGGUGAGAAUGUUCCUGCAUWGCAGGAAAUGCAAACUUGUAGUGUAUUUUAGUUUUAAAAAGGCUUCUAAAGUGUGUCUAUCAACCRCUACAAAAAUMUAGAUUAAUUCACAUUUCUUGUUGCUGCAGGAUUAUUUUCCUGCAACUGGCUAAAAUGAAGAUCUUACAUCUGUAACAAUGCAUCCCUGUGGGGUGAACUGUACUUCUAUUUGUAUUGGACAGGUAGAAGAGGAAAGAAACAGUGGAGGGUUUGGAGGACGGGUUUUCCUGGAAAGUAGGUUUGAGAAAUUGGCAUUGUGUUGAGGGAUAAAUGUAUAAGAAAAGAGAUGGAUUCAGRUCGUUUGUUUUUACUAGUGUCUUCUCGAUUGAUUUAGAAUUCGACUCCAACAGAUUGUUCARWUCUAGCAGAUUUUAGCUGCARGUUUACCAAUUGCAAACCGUACAGAACCUUAUUUAAAGGGUGAAGACUGAUUGUGUUUAUGAAGURUAACUUUGAAAGUGUUGAGGAAAGUAUUUGGAAAGUGGAACAGUGUGUGAGCAAGUGUCAAUGGUAAACUAGAUGUAGAAAGUAGUAUUURUCUCUCGCUUUCUCCAUGUCUGGUAUCUCUCUAGUCUGUCAUCUGGUAUCUCGCUAGUGUCUCUGUCAUCUAGAAAACUGCAGUUGAGAGAUUCAGGGUGGAAAUAUGUGGCUAGGAAAGUUGAGUUUCUCUGUAUGAUCWUUAUUCUGAUUUCCGGACCUUACAGUGUAUAGUUCCUUCUCUCCUCAUGUUUCUGUAUCGUAUUAAGUUGCAUCUCUAACCUAGCCUGUGAAAUGAUUGACUUUCUUGCUAUGGUAAUUCUAAGACUCAAUAAAUAACAUUGCUGUUGAUUUAAAUACUGAGUAUAMUGAAAUCACAUAGUUGAAGUUUACUUAUGUUUGUACAAAUUGCAACAACAAAAAAAUGUUUUUGAUCUUGUUUAAUUUUGUUUUUCCUUAACCUUGCACCUUUUCUUUUCACCAUCCUAACCUUCUUCAAAAUAUGACCUUUCAAUGUCAAUCUAGCUAUAUGAGAAUGGGAUCCAGUUGUAAAAGGCAAAAGAAAAAUGAUGCUGUGGUGACUAUUCAGGAUCUCAUAUUCAGGAUGCCUCUGUUAGUAGGAUUGUCUUAAAUACGUGUUUAAGAAUGAAACAAUUGCCUCUGCCCCUACUUUUAUUUCAGUCUUUUAAUUUGUUUUGUUAUAUUCUUUUUUUGUUACUUCAUCUGUAGCUUUUUUCUCUUUAAAACAGCAUUGCCUUUCUGAGACACACAACAAUCAUGGUCACAGUAUAAAACCUUARAGACAUUCCUGAUACCACUGUUAUUGUAUUUCUUUCCAAUGAAUACUUCAAUAAAUAUGUUAAUCACUAUA